rnacentral:rRNA from 1 species
ACCGGCGCACGGGUGCGUAACGCGUAUGCAAUCUACCUUGUACAGGGGAAUAGCCCAGAGAAAUUUGGAUUAAUGCCCCAUAGUAUAUAACCUUCGCAUGUUGGUUAUAUUAAAGUUCCAACGGUACAAGAUGAGCAUGCGUCCCAUUAGUUAGUUGGUAAGGUAACGGCUUACCAAGACGAUGAUGGGUAGGGGUCCUGAGAGGGAGAUCCCCCACACUGGUACUGAGACACGGACCAGACUCCUACGGGAGGCAGCAGUGAGGAAUAUUGGUCAAUGGUCGCAAGACUGAACCAGCCAUGCCGCGUGCAGGAAGACGGUCCUAUGGAUUGUAAACUGCUUUUAUACAGGAAGAAACCCUCCCACGUGUGGGAGCUUGACGGUACUGUAGGAAUAAGGGUCGGCUAACUCCGUGCCAGCAGCCGCGGUAAUACGGAGGAUCCAAGCGUUAUCCGGAAUCAUUGGGUUUAAAGGGUCCGUAGGCGGUCUUAUAAGUCAGUGGUGAAAGCCCAUCGCUCAACGAUGGAACUGCCAUUGAUACUGUAAGACUUGAAUGCUUAGGAAGUAACUAGAAUAUGUAGUGUAGCGGUGAAAUGCUUAGAUAUUACAUGGAAUACCAAUUGCGAAGGCAGGUUACUACUAAGUGAUUGACGCUGAUGGACGAAAGCGUGGGGAGCGAACAGGAUUAGAUACCCUGGUA